rnacentral:rRNA from 1 species
GCCUAACACAUGCAAGUCGAACGGUAAGGCCCCUUCGGGGGUACACGAGUGGCGAACGGGUGAGUAACACGUGAGCAACCUACCCUUAACACUGGAAUAACAGUUGGAAACAGCUGCUAAUGCCGGAUACGACCUUCGGUGACAUCACCUGAAGGUGGAAAGUGCUUAGCGGUCAAGGAUGGGCUCGCGGCCUAUCAGCUAGUUGGUGAGGUAACGGCUCACCAAGGCUUCGACGGGUAGCCGGCCUGAGAGGGCGACCGGCCACACUGAGACUGAGAUACGGCCCAGACUCCUACGGGAGGCAGCAGUGGGGAAUUGUUCGCAAUGGGCGCAAGCCUGACGACGCAACGCCGCCUGGAGGACGAAGAUCUUCGGGUCGUAAACUCCUGUCGAGUGGGAAGAACACCCACCUGGUGAACAACCGGGAGGGCUGACGGUACCGCUAAAGGAAGCCCCGGCUAACUCCGUGCCAGCCGCCGCGGUAAUNC